rnacentral:piRNA from 1 species
UCAGUUCUUGUUUGAGCAAUGUUACUU